CACGUAGGGGGCGAGCGUUGUCCAGAUUUAUUGGGCGUAAAGAGCUCGUAGGCGGUUCGAUAAGUCGGGUGUGAAAACUCUGGGCUCAACUCAGAGACGCCACCCGAUACUGUUGUGACUUGAGUCCGGUAGGGGAGUAUGGAAUUCCCGGUGUAGCGGUGAAAUGCGCAGAUAUCGGGAGGAACACCAGUGGCGAAGGCGGUACUCUGGGCCGGAACUGACGCUGAGGAGCGAAAGCGUGGGUAGCGAACAGG
rnacentral:rRNA from 1 species